rnacentral:lncRNA from 1 species
GAGGAGCGUCUCUGCCCGGCCGCCCAUCGUCUGAGAUGUGGGGAGCUCCUCUGCCCCGCCGCCCUGUCUGGGAUGUGAGGAGCGCCUCUGCCCGGCCGCGACCCCGUCUGGGAACUGAUGAGUGUCUCUGCCCGAUCGCCACCCCAUCUGGGAGAGGAAAGGCCAUGUAAGGACAGAGCAAACAGGCAACUGUCUGCAAACCAGGAAGAGAGGCCUCACCAGAUAUCAACCUUCAUGGCACCUUGAUCUUGAUCUUUCCAGACUGUGAGAAAAUUAACUUCUGUUGUUGUUUAAGCUGCCCUCCAACUCCGUCUGUAGUAUUUUGUUACGGCAGCCCAAACAGACUAAUACAUCAAGUAACCACACAAAUGCAUGUACAAUUAAAACUGACCUAACUGUUAAGAAGAGGAGAUAGGGCAAGAGUAUAUUUAUCGAGGGUAUUCUAUCUGGUCAGAGAUGAGAGAGAAAGAUUUUUCUGGGUAAAGUUAACAAGGUAUAUAGGGUGGGGUGAAUAUGGAGUGGGGAAUGGUCCCAGAUAGGGCCAAUUGCUUGUGCAAAGGCCCUGGGGUGAGACAGAGCACAGUUUAUUAGAGAAACCAAGUGGCAGCUGUGUGAUUGGGGUGCUAAGAGUGAAGAGGAAGGUGAUACAGGUGAGGGUGGAGAAGAGGGUGAGGCCUAACUUCCCAGGACCAUGCAGGAUUUUCACUGCUAACUUGGGCCACUUGCACACCAGACUGGAGCUGGAAAUGGUGGGUAUGGGAGACAGAGAUCAAAAUAACCUCUAGAUGUCCACUUGCAUAGCUGGUAGGUCACGGGACCAUUCAUGAUAGGGAAGCCCAGGAGAGAACCAGAUUUCAAAGAGAAAGUCAUGAAUUUGCACGUGUCAAGCUUGUUGUGCUUUUGAGUCACUUAGAAAGAGACAUUUGUUUGCGGACCUAUCUACAAGUCUAGACUCAGACAGAGACCUGAGUCAUGUCAUUACACUGACAAGGUGGGAGAGGUGAUUCGGGACAGUCAUUCUCAGACUUUGAGUUUCAAGACCCCUUUACACUCUUAAAAACCAUCAAGGACCUCAAAGAGCUUCUGUUUAUGUGGGUUAUAUCUGUCCAUAUUUACUGUAUUAGAAAUGUAAACUGAAAUAUUAAUAUUAAUUUAUAAUAAACCUGUUUUACCUUAACAUAAAAAAAAGAAAUAAAACAUGC